CCUACGGGUGGCAGCAGUGAGGAAUAUUGGUCAAUGGGCGCGAGCCUGAACCAGCCAAGUCGCGUGAGGGAUGACGGUCCUCCGGAUUGUAAACCUCUUCUGCCGGGGAGCAAGCGUGCGUUCGUGAACGCGCGUCGCGAGUACCCGGAGUACAAGCAUCGGCUAACUCCGUGCCAGCAGCCGCGGUAAUACGGAUGAUGCGAGGGUUAUCCUGAUUUAUUGGGUUUAAAGGGUGCGUAGGCGGGAUGCCAAGUCAGCGGGAAAAAGGCGGUGCUCAACGGUGGCGAGCCGUUGAAACUGGCGGUCUUGAGUGGGCGAGAAGAGAGCGGAAUGCGUGGUGUAGCGGUGAAAUGCGUAGAUAUCACGCAGAACUCCGAUUGCGAAGGCAGCAUGCCGGCUCCACACUGACGCUGAGGCACGAAAGCGUGGGUAGCGAACAGGAUUAGAUACCCUGGUAGUC
rnacentral:rRNA from 1 species